rnacentral:lncRNA from 1 species
AAAUUAUUUUAUUUUUGUCAUUUGUCAGCACUAACAGGUUGGAGGAGAGACGUCUGUCAGAGCUGACACAGAGUCUCUGAAGGGAUUCUGCAAAAAGAACAAGUCUUUGUGGAGGUACUGGGUCACAUUUUUCAAAGCCUGUCUCACACCCCAUUGGAAGAGCACCCCCAGGGAGGGAGAGGUUCCUGCAGAGUGCUUCACAGCAGGAGGGAAGCAGGAACACCCCCCUCUGUCCUCCAGCAAAACGUCCUGGGCCACUCAGCCCCAUGGUGUGGAUGUGCCUCUGUCAGAUAACGCCUGGAACCAGGCUGAAGGUUCUUCCCAGACCCAGUUUUCCUACCAUCCAGCCCACAAAAGGCUCAGGAAUUUGUGUGGAAAGGUCCCCGGGGGCGAGCACCAGAGGCCCAGCGCUAUCAUUCUGGCUGUCUGAACUUCAACAAACUGCCUGAACACCAUGAGCCCCCAGCCCCCUCAGCGUAGCUCCUUCCUGCCCUUUCUCCUUGUUUUCGGAAGGAACCGAGAGCCGGUAAGUCACCUGUAAGGGUCAGGUGCUCACCUUUUUAAGUUCAAAUGCUUUAUUGAGGUACUUAAAGUGUAUUAGAUGUUUUUCCUAAAUAAUCGUGGGUGGGUAUUGCUAGGGUUCCACCUUGCCAUGUGAUCACCAGGGGCGAGAAUGGUCUUCUCACAGCCCCA